UGAGGUUUUUGGAUUGAUGGGGGUCUAGCACAGUGGAGGGUAGGGGAGACAGAGAGAAAAUGUAUCUAACGAACAGGGAGAUUCCCAGUCUCCUCCUCCACAAAGCUUCUGGGAUUCUAGAACCAGAAGCAUUACCUUUUGCAGAAACCUGGCACACACGACCAGCUGGAGAGGACAGUCCUCAAAACACCGGGGUUCCCAGUGACAUGGUGCAGCUCUCAGUCAGCACUCAUGGGCACAUGGAUGAAACUGGCCUUGAAGGAAAUUUGAGGGGGGCCGCCAAGGAUCGCCACGCAGCUGAAGAAACUCGGUAACCUAAGACUAGGCUCAACACAAAGGGGAGAAAGCAGAGUGGAGAAACCAGAAUCUAGGCAAGGAGGACACAGGUUUCCAGAACAUGUGAGCCCACUCUGCCUGGUCCAGUGGUCAAACAGACCACACCAAGACGCAGCACUGCCUACCCCUGGGAGAUCUCAGGACACCAAGGAGAAGAGGAGGAUGCUGAAAGUUUCUGGAGUCCUCGAGGAAAAAACAAAAUCAAUUCAUAAAUGAGAUACAGAGAUAUAGAUAAGGAUAACACGUAAUAUACAAAGGAUGAGGAGUCAAAAUGUCUUCGGAAUUUUCUAGCACAAUGCUAGAGGCAAGAAGGCAAUGAAACCACAAAAUCCUGAAGAGAAAACAUUUCAAACUUGGAAUUCUAUACUCAGCCAAACAAUAUAGUGGGAGGGUAGACAAAAGAUUUUUUUAAGUACCUCCCGAGAGUUCUUUCUAGGGAGGCCACAGAACACUCCACCAGGAUGACAAGCCAAUGACACUGUAAAAAUAUGAUUCAGGGAUGUAAAUGAACAUACCA